AGCGAUGCGUUGAGCUAACCGGUACUAAUGAACCGUGAGGCUUAACCUUACAACGCCGAAGGUGUUU
rnacentral:rRNA from 1 species